ensembl:lncRNA
UGGCUGGGAACAGAAAUUACACUGCACAAAAAGACAUUCACCCUCGGAAAAAGACCAGUCAUCAGCCUGCAUCAGAAUGAAAAUGGAGAGUUUCAAAAUGUUUCCAAAUGCAAUGACAUACCACAAAUAGCCCAGAAGUCAGGCCAUUGCUCCGGGCAUGGGAGAGCUGAGCUCAUGGCCUUCCUGACACACUACUCCACUCAUCGGGCAGCAAAGUCCCUCUUGGAGACUCCCAAAGGGGGUUGAAUGGCAUCUUGGCAGAGAGCCCGGGCCACCAACACGGCACUCUGCAAGGUCCUCCUUCCCAACCACAGGCUCCACCCGCAAUAAUCUGAAAAAUGCAUCUCAGUGCUAAAAGCCAUUGCAAAACGUCCUCGGGAGAAAAAUCUGUGAACUCAGAUUGAGCACAAAGCAGUGAUGUCUUGGGAAUUGUAUGUAUACCACAUGGCUGGAACCAGAGGGUCCUGAAGGAAUCUGGGUUGAUCUUGUCCUUCAGCCCUCCCCAAAGCACCAAGUGACACGGACCUUUGGGCUGCUGUAUCCUCCUAUAGAAUCAUAGAAUAGUGAAGGAUGGAAAUGACUGUUAAGAUCUAGUCCAACCUACGCAACUUUUCCAACCAGCACACCCACGUGGUACACACAAGCCCAUCUAAGGGCUCCAUUUCAUGAACCGGACUUCUUUUUGAUGUGAAACAAAGGAUGUCCAGCUUCAGAGAGCUCUCCCGUGUGGGCUUCUGCAUGCCACGCAGCAGUUCCUGCACAGAACGAGAGCACACUACGUGGAUCAACCUUGCAGUGGCCUAUUUACCACUCUGUAACACACUGCCCUCCGUGUUUCUCCACCAGACACGACAUCAAGGCUCCACGAAGGCUUCGCCUUGCUCAGUCCCAUCUCUGAUUUCCAUGGUGCAUCAGAAAAGAAGAGGAUGACUCCUUUGACCCCCCUGCUGUGUGUUCAUUUCAAUCAUCUGCUCUGGACUCUGCUGGGAGAGGGACGGUUCCACCCAGCCUGCCUGGCCCUGCGUCCCACUCAGCACCAGAGAAAAGCAGCUCAAAAAAUGUCAUGUGCUGGAAAGAAGAAGCAUAUGGAGCUUGAAGAUAUCCAUUGUCUCCAAAUCCUAUACUCAAAGAAUGACCCUUUGUUGCCCUGCACUCAUCACUGGGUAGCAUGGGCUGCUCAUGAGCCUUCCCUUUCGCCUAGGUUGCCAGUAUCAGUACUAUUGUGGGGAACUCAUCCACGCUAACAUAACUGGUCCUUGAAUGAUUUGUUUGCACCCCAGAUCAAUGCAGAAUGAUGAUCAUUCCAUCCAGAGAUGGCCCAAGGGCACGUGCUGCUGCCACACUGCCUAUGUGCUCUCACUCCCUGGUGUUACCGCUUCCCUCAACCAAAAUCUGUUUGAAAUAAACUGUAUAUUUUUUCUGGCAAAAAUAAAAAAUAAAGAAGUUCAGAUGCCACCAGAUGGAAAAUGCAACAGCCCUGAGUAAAGUGUUGGUUGUCCUCUAGUCUGAAUUUGCCAACAUACUGCUUCAAGCUCUGGAUCUCUUUCUGCAUUGUUACUCAGACCAAGAAAAUCGUUGCGUUUUAAUCCCCAGCAGGCUCUUAUAGACUGCUCAAAUUGCCCUUUCCCUACCUAUUUUUCAUCCAAAUGCAGCAUUUCCCUGCAUGCGCAC